CUACGGGAGGCAGCAGUGGGGAAUAUUGCACAAUGGGGGAAACCCUGAUGCAGCAACGCCGCGUGAAGGAUGAAGGUUUUCGGAUCGUAAACUUCUUUGAUGAGGGAAGAAAAAUGACGGUACCUCAAAAACAAGCCACGGCUAACUACGUGCCAGCAGCCGCGGUAAUACGUAGGUGGCGAGCGUUGUCCGGAAUUACUGGGUGUAAAGGGCGUGUAGGCGGGAAUGUAAGUCAGAUGUGAAAUUCCGAGGCUCAACCUCGGAGCUGCAUCUGAAACUAUAUUUCUUGAGUGCUGGAGAGGAAAGCGGAAUUCCUAGUGUAGCGGUGAAAUGCGUAGAUAUUAGGAGGAACACCAGUGGCGAAGGCGGCUUUCUGGACAGUAACUGACGCUGAGGCGCGAAAGCGUGGGGAGCAAACAGGAUUAGAUACCCCAGUAGUC
rnacentral:rRNA from 1 species